UACGUAGGGUGCAAGCGUUAAUCGGAAUUACUGGGCGUAAAGCGUGCGCGGGCGGUUUUGUAAGUCUGUCGUGAAAUCCCCGGGCUCAACCUGGGAAUUGCGAUGGAGACUGCAAGGCUAGAAUCUGGCAGAGGGGGGUAGAAUUCCACGUGUAGCAGUGAAAUGCGUAGAGAUGUGGAGGAACACCGAUGGCGAAGGCAGCCCCCUGGGCUGACACUGACGCUCAGGCACGAAAGCGUGGGGAGCAAACAGG
rnacentral:rRNA from 1 species